UACGAAGGGGGCUAGCGUUGCUCGGAAUCACUGGGCGUAAAGGGUGCGUAGGCGGGUCUUUAAGUCAGGGGUGAAAUCCUGGAGCUCAACUCCAGAACUGCCUUUGAUACUGAGGAUCUUGAGUUCGGGAGAGGUGAGUGGAACUGCGAGUGUAGAGGUGAAAUUCGUAGAUAUUCGCAAGAACACCAGUGGCGAAGGCGGCUCACUGGCCCGAUACUGACGCUGAGGCACGAAAGCGUGGGGAGCAAACAGGGAAUUAAGAAUCGACC
rnacentral:rRNA from 1 species